rnacentral:rRNA from 1 species
AGAAUCAACGCUGGCGGCGUGCCUAACACAUGCAAGUCGAGCGGAAAGGCCCUUCGGGGUACUCGAGCGGCGAACGGGUGAGUAACACGUGAGUAAUCUGCCCCUAGCUCUGGGAUAGCUCCGGGAAACCGGGAUUAAUACCGGAUACGACCACCUUAGACAUCUUUUGUGGUGGAAAGAAUUUCGGCUAGGGAUGAGCUCGCGGCCUAUCAGCUUGUUGGUGGGGUAACGGCCUACCAAGGCGACGACGGGUA